UUUUCCCUUUAUUAACUCACUGAAACCGCCUUUUCCCCGGCAGCGGCCGCGCACGGCCGAUAAAACUCUGGGGAGGCGGCGGGGGGGGAUAAUUGGCUAUUUCGAGCGGCUCGAGCGAGCGGAAUUUCAUUGAUUUCGGGGCCAUCAGCCCUUUCUCCUCGCCUGUCAUCUCCGCGGAAGGUCCUGCUCCAUCAGCCCCGCCGGCAGCUCCCUCCCCUCGGCCCCGGGGGCCGAUCCUUCCCGGAGAGGAAGCGAUUAACGCCGCAAACGCGACUCAACAGCACCUUAAUUCGGAAUUUAUUGCGGCCGGCAGGGGAGACUUAUUUCACAUCAAAGCCUCGCGGAGGCGAGGGGAGAGGAGGAGGGAAAAAAAACAACAAAAAAAAAAAAAAACCCCAAAAAAAAAUCCCCAAACGGCGGGAGUUGGAGGUUUAGGAGGAGCCGCUCCCCGGCUCGCGAUGUGUUUCAUGUGGGUUUGGGAGUCUGAUGAGCUCGGAGCCCCUCGGCAUCGCCCCGGGCCGCUUCGGUGUUUCAUUUUGGAAUCCCGAGGCCAACACGAGCCCAGACAAAAGGGAAGAGCCGGGGCGAGCUUCGGGAGCGCCGAGGGUUCGCGCUUUGAAGUUUUCUCCUCUUCUUUUUUCUUCUUUUUGUUUUUUUGGCCGUGCGGGGAGGAGGCAAAGGGGGGGACACGAAAGGAAUAAAAGGCAACAAGGGCGUUCCGACACUUCCCUGCUCGCAGCCAUCCCGAGAUGAAAAGCCAGGCUAUAAAUCAGAGCCGAGGGUGGCGAUUUGAUGAUUUAUUUUUUUUUUCCCCUUUUCCUUCUUUGUUGGUUUUUUUUUUUUUUUUUUUUGGCGUCGAGAUGAGGGGAGGGGUUACGGAGAAAUCCCCGCUCGCGGCUCCUUUCGGGGGCGAAAUCCAGCGGGGCUUUUCCCGCCCGGAGCUCGGGGGAGCAGCCCGGGAGCCUUCGGGGACUCCGCCGGCCAUGGGAACCGAGCCGCCGCCCGCGGGCCGGGGGCGCAGGGGCCGGGCCCCCCUCGCAGCCCCUCUCCCCAUCUCCCGAGGGGAAUCCUCCGCACCCCGAGGCGGCGUCUCCUCCUUCUCCUCGGAGCUCUGGAGUCUCGCAGCCCCGCUCCUCUCCCCGGAUCGGCCUCAGCUCGGCCGCAGCAGCCCCCGGGGACCCGGUGAGUUCCACUCGGCGCCGCGUCCGUCUGUCCCUCCGCACCACCCCACGGCCUCUUC